GUAAAAAGGGAAGGUUAAGUAUGAACAUAGUGAGUGUUUAUUGAUUAAGACGAUGUUAUAAAUUAUUCACGUUCAAGUUCUACUCUAAUGUCUCAUGGCUGAUCGGACAAUUUACUUCACAUGACUCUUCCAAUGAGUUACAGCUAACGGCGUGGCAGAUGGGUAGCAACUGCCAAAAGAAUAACUUCUUGUCUGACACUCGCCCGCUGUGCCCCUGUGAUGUUUUAUUACAGCUGCUUGUAACUUCUAACGCAAAUGCAGAUAUAUUAAAUCAUCGGAGAAAACAUCUUCAAAGCAGAGUUACAGUGAAUCAUCCUCUCCUGCUGAUAUUCCCCCCCCACCACAUGGAUGAGGAUGUUUAUGGAUUGAAGCGCACUUGUGAGAGGAGCUUAACUGAUUGAACUCACGCAGAGUUUAAAGAGUUCCCUCUGGCUUCUAAUGGGAGCAAAGAAAGCAAAGCGAAUCGUCGGGAAACCCAGCUGAUGUAGCGCAAGGGCCUCAGUUCUCAGGCCAGAAGAAGGAGAAGGAGGAACAGGGUCGUUUGGGUGGUGCUGGUGUUUGGGUGUGCGUGUGUGUGGACAAGAAGGGUUUCUGUGUGACCAAUUUGGAAGCUGGAUGACUGCUCUCUCUCCUAAACGCUACCGUAGCUAAGGCUGAGGUCAUGGCAAUCUGGUGGACUCUGAGAACCUCAAAUGAGAUCACCAGUGGGCUGGGCUAUCCUGUGACACACACACACACACACACACACACACACACACACACACACACACACACACACAUAUAUACACACUCAGAGCGAGCAGUCUCUCCGAUGAACGUUAAUCCAUCAUUCUCUGACUAAGCGGAAUAAAAAGAAACCAGAGAACAUGACGGGCUCAAGCAAA